GCUUCAUGAGGGCGAGUUUCAGCCCUCAAUCCGAACUAAGAAUGGGUUUAAGAGAUUGCCUUCACCUUUCGGUGUCGGAGCCCAUUGUCCCAUCCAUUGUAGCCCGCGUGUAGCCCGGAGAAUUCGGGGCAUACUGACCUACCGUCGCCCGCUCCUUCCUCCUCUUUAGCAGAGGCGGUCCCCAUAGUGUACCCAGCCUGCCGGAGCAGCCGCUGGCAACUGUGGGUACGGGUCUCGCUCGUUGCCUGACUUAACAGGACGCCUCACGGUACGAACUGACGGCGGCCAUGCACCUCCUCUCAGCUAGUCUAGCAAGGUCAUCAGCCUGGCCCUCAUCCCGCUGUCGUCUCCGGUCAGCUUUCCGGCGUUAGA
rnacentral:rRNA from 1 species